rnacentral:rRNA from 1 species
UGCCAGCCGCCGCGGUAAUACGGAGGGUGCAAGCGUUACUCGGAUUUACUGGGCGUAAAGGGUGCGCAGGCGGCCUGAUAUGUCAGAUGUGAAAGCCCAUGGCUCAACCAUGGAACUGCAUUUGAAACUAUCAGGCUAGAGUAUUGGAGAGGUAAGCGGAAUUCCUAGUGUAGCGGUGAAAUGCGUAGAUAUUAGAAAGAACACCGGUGGCGAAAGCGCUCUACUGGACCAUUACUGACACUCAGAGGCGAAAGCUAGGGUAGCAAAAGGGAUUAGAUA